AUUUUUGAGAGUUUGAUCCUGGCUCAGGAUGAACGCUGGCGGCGUGCCUAACACAUGCAAGUCGAGCGGAGAAAAAUUAGCUUGCUAAUUUUUCUCAGCGGCGGACGGGUGAGUAACGCGUGGGUAACCUGCCCUGUACACUUGGAUAACACACCGAAAGGUGUGCUAAUACAAGAUAAUAUCAAAGGAAGGCAUCUUCUUUUGAUCAAAGCUUUUGCGGUACAGGAUGGACCCGCGUCCCAUUAGCUAGUUGGUGGGGUAAUGGCCUACCAAGGCGACGAUGGGUAGCCGACCUGAGAGGGUGA
rnacentral:ncRNA from 1 species